AUUGAACGCUGGCGGCAGGCCUUACACAUGCAAGUCGAACGAGUGGCGCACGGGUGAGUAAUACAUCGGAGCGUGUCCUAUCGUGGGGGAUAACUGAUCGAAAGAUCAGCUAAUACCGCAUACAAUUGGAUCGGCCCAUGACCGAUUAGCUCGUUGGUGAGGUAAUGGCUCACCAAGGCGACGAUCGGUAGCUGGUCUGAGAUGAUGAUCAGACACACUGGGACUGAGACACGGCCCAGACUCCUACGGGAGGCAGCAGUGGGGAAUUUUGGACAAUGGGGGCAACCCUGAUCCAGCCAUGCCGCGUGUAGGAUGAAGGUCUUAGGAUUGUAAACUGCUUUUGUUAGGGAAGCGGUACCGGAAGAAUAAGCACCGGCUAACUACGUGCCAGCAGCCGCGGUAAUAC
rnacentral:rRNA from 1 species